GCGUCCAUAGCUUAGUGGUAAAGCACUGCUCUGUGGAGGCAGCUAUGAGGGUUCGAUCCCCUCUGGACGCCCA
rnacentral:tRNA from 1 species